rnacentral:rRNA from 1 species
AGGGCACCACCAGGAGUGGAGCCUGCGGCUUAAUUUGACUCAACACGGGAAAACUCACCCGGCCCGGACACUGGAAGGAUUGACAGAUUGAGAGCUCUUUCUUGAUUCAGUGGGUGGUGGUGCAUGGCCGUUCUUAGUUGGUGGAGUGAUUUGUCUGGUUAAUUCCGAUAACGAACGAGACUCUAGCCUAUUAAAUAGAUCGUUGGCUUACAAACGCCGGCGAGACUUCUUAGAGGGACAGGCGGCGAUUCAGCCGCACGAAACAGAGCAAUAACAGGUCUGUGGUGCCCUUAGAUGUCCGGGGCCGCACGCGCGCUACACUGAAGUGAUCAGCGUGCAUUUUGAAACCUACUCUGUCAAGAGUGGGGAGCCCAAUGAACCUUCUUCGUGAUUGGGAUAGGGGAUUGUAAUUAUUCCCCUUGAAUGAGGAAUUCCCAGUAAGCGCGAAUCAUAAGUUUGCGCUGAUUACGUCCCUGCCCUUUGUACACACCGCCCGUCGCUACUACCGAUUGAAUGUUU